UACGAAGGGUGCUAGCGUUGUUCGGAAUGACUGGGCGUAAAGGGCGCGUAGGCGGUUUUGUGCGUCAGAUGUGAAAUCCCUGGGCUUAACCUAGGAAUUGCAUUUGAUACGGCAAGACUAGAGUACGAUAGAGGAUGGUGGAAUUGCGAGUGUAGAGGUGAAAUUCGUAGAUAUUCGCAGGAACACCAGUGGCGAAGGCGGCCAUCUGGGUCGGUACUGACGCUGAGGCGCGAAAGCGUGGGGAGCAAACAGG
rnacentral:rRNA from 1 species